rnacentral:lncRNA from 1 species
GCCAUUUCAUAGGCGUUAGUUUCGGUAGGUCACACCAGAGUUGUACAAUACAAUAAAAAUAGUCUUCUCGUUUUGUUCCACAUUUCUUUCCCAAAUGUGGCAUGGGAAAAAAUCCCCUUGGUCCCCGAUUCACAAUGCGCACCACCCACAAGCUCGCGUUGCUGCCCUUUCCGAUCACCUCUCUCACCGCAGGUUGAACCUCUC